UUAAUGUAAAAUACUCUUUUCAUUUACGGAACCAGCAUUGUGAUUGUGUUGCCGAUGCAAUGGCAGAAUGGUCUUAGCAUUCAGUACCAUGAGAAGACUUGAGAAUUACAAAUAUAAUCAAGCAAUUAUCUGGCUUGGUCUUUUGAACAUAAACCGUGAAAAAAUAAAAAGGAUUUUUCAUGAUUUAAUAACACCAAGCAAGCAACUAUUAAUAUUGUCUUUCAUGUCUGUUUUAUGAUGUAUUUUUGCAUAACACUAUUUUUAUCACUGG
rnacentral:lncRNA from 1 species